rnacentral:misc_RNA from 1 species
GAUGAAUGGCUGGGGAAACAAUGCACAGAGAGAUGAAAAGGAGCCAUCUGAAGAUUUCUUGAAUGAUGAGGAAACUGAAAAUGGAGACACUGGUGCGCAGGGCGAAUGGCGAGAAGUUGGCGAAUUCGAUCUGAACUCUAGGUGAAUCAUACAAAUAUAUAUCUAGAAGAAAAAAAAAAGUCCAUGGAAGAUCAUGGAACUACCUUCAUGGUAUGAGAAUGAGGGAAUUGCAUUCAGAUACUGCUUCUCUCUCUGUGAAAUGGAUGAAGGACAAACUAAAAGGCGGCUUUGUAAUAUAUUGCAGUAAUUUCUGUACGAUGGUAAAUGCAGCACAUAGCAGACCCAUAGAAAUCUCUUUUGUAGGUGGAAAACUUGGAAGUUCCUUCUGUACAUUUAUCAGUUGAAAACUUGGUUUGUUCCACUAAUUUAACUAUCAUGC